rnacentral:misc_RNA from 1 species
UUGAAGAUGAUUUGAUUACAUACAACAUAAAAAAAAAUUGUCAGUCUUAUAACUAAUAAGAGAAAAUGAAAAAAACAAGAAGAGGAGACUUAAAAUAACGUGUAGAGGUUGAAUAUUGAUAUAGACCUAACAUCUAAUAAGGUUAAAUGGCGAAAAAGAUCUACGUAGCAAAUAUUAGUUUUAAGUAACAUCAGCGUGUGUGGAAUAAUCUCCUCUUCAGCAAUGUAUAUCUCUGUUGUACUUGAGGAACCAUGUGCAUGCGCG